UAUAUAAAUUAGAAUAUUAAAAAUGCACUUCUCAACUGCUUGUGACUAAUUAAAUAAAGAGUAGAGCUACUAUGCUAUCGGAAGCAUAAAGUAGUUGGUGCUUCCGAUUUUUUAGCGCUUAGAUCAACCCCAUUGAUCAUUUCUAACCAUUUGAUUAAUAUUAUUAACCAAUGGAGACCACUCAAACUUAGGGGGACCACUCAACCCUAAGGGGACUGCGAUCAUCCCAACCGUAGAAUUUUUGAUCCAAGAGCUAAAAAAUCGGAAGCACAAAUUACUUUAUGCUUCCGAUAGCAUAGUAGCUCUACACUUAAAAUAAAUUAUUUUUACUUGCAAUACUUUAUAUACAUCAACCAAAUAAGAUACAUGUAGUUAUAACUGCAAUAUUUUUAACUGUAUAUAUAUAUAUCUCAACCUACACUGUAUUUCUAGUUUCAUCUCCAUAUAGUUUUAGCAAUAAUUUAUUAGUAUACAC
rnacentral:lncRNA from 1 species